rnacentral:rRNA from 1 species
GUGAGGAAUAUUGGUCAAUGGCCGAAGGGCUGAACCAGCCAAGCCGCGUGAAGGAAUAAGGCCCUACGGGUCGUAAACUUCUUUAGUCAGGGAACAAAGGGAGCCACGCGUGGCUCUGUGAGUGUACCUGAAGAAUAAGCAUCGGCUAACUCCGUGCCAGCAGCCGCGGUAAUACGGAGGAUGCGAGCGUUAUCCGGAUUUAUUGGGUUUAAAGGGUGCGUAGGCGGUUUGUCAAGUCAGCGGUAAAAAUUCCGGGCUCAACCCGGUCUCGCCGUUGAAACUGGCGAACUCGAGAGGGAGAGAAGUAGGCGGAAUGCGCAGUGUAGCGGUGAAAUGCAUAGAUAUUGCGCAGAACUCCGAUUGCGAAGGCAGCCUACCGGCUCCUGUCUGACGCUGAGGCACGAAAGCGUGGGUAUCGAACAGG